UAAGUUUUUCCUAAGUGAAACUUCUUUAGUUUGACCAAGUUUAUAGAAAAAUAUAUUUUAACAUCUACAAUACCAAAUAAAUGCACUAUAAAGACAUAUUUCAUGGUGCCAUGGUGGACAUGAUGAAACUAAUUUGGUGCUGUAGAUGUUGAUGCAUUUUUUUUAUAACUUGGUUGUUAGAGAAGUUUGACUUAGGACAAAACUAAA
rnacentral:pre_miRNA from 1 species